rnacentral:rRNA from 2 species
GUAGGUGGCAAGCGUUGUCCGGAUUUAUUGGGCGUAAAGCGAGCGCAGGCGGUUUUUUAAGUCUGAUGUGAAAGCCUUCGGCUCAACCGAAGAAGUGCAUCGGAAACUGGGAAACUUGAGUGCAGAAGAGGACAGUGGAACUCCAUGUGUAGCGGUGAAAUGCGUAGAUAUAUGGAAGAACACCAGUGGCGAAGGCGGCUGUCUGGUCUGUAACUGACGCUGAGGCUCGAAAGUAUGGGUAGCAAACAGGAUUAGAUACCCUGGUAGUCCAUACCGUAAACGAUGAAUGCUAAGUGUUGGAGGGUUUCCGCCCUUCAGUGCUGCAGCUAACGCAUUAAGCAUUCCGCCUGGGGAGUACGGCCGCAAGGCUGAAACUCAAAGGAAUUGACGGGGGCCCGCACAAGCGGUGGAGCAUGUGGUUUAAUUCGAAGCUACGCGAAGAACCUUACCAGGUCUUGACAUACUAUGCAAAUCUAAGAGAUUAGACGUUCCCUUCGGGGACAUGGAUACAGGUGGUGCAUGGUUGUCGUCAGCUCGUGUCGUGAGAUGUUGGGUUAAGUCCCGCAACGAGCGCAACCCUUAUUAUCAGUUGCCAGCAUUAAGUUGGGCACUCGGUGAGACUGCCGGUGACAAACCGGAGGAAGGUGGGGAUGACGUCAAAUCAUCAUGCCCCUUAUGACCUGGGCUACACACGUGCUACAAUGGAUGGUACAACGAGUUGCGAACUCGCGAGAGUAAGCUAAUCUCUUAAAGCCAUUCUCAGUUCGGAUUGUAGGCUGCAACUCGCCUACAUGAAGUCGGAAUCGCUAGUAAUCGCGGA